rnacentral:rRNA from 1 species
UGUCGUGACUAUAGCGAAGGGGUCACACCUGUUCCCAUACCGAACACAGCAGUUAAGCCCUUCAGCGCCGAUGGUACUUGGUGAGAGAUCGCCUGGGAGAGUAGGUCGUUGCGAUAC